AGUGAACGCUGGCGGUAGGCCUAACACGUGCAAGUCGAACGGCAGCACAGUAAGAGCUUGCUCUUACGGGUGGCGAGUGGCGGACGGGUGAGGAAUACAUCGGAAUCUACUUUUUCGUGGGGGAUAACGUAGGGAAACUUACGCUAAUACCGCAUACGACCUACGGGUGAAAGCAGGGGAUCUUCGGACCUUGCGCGAUUGAAUGAGCCGAUGUCGGGUUAGCUAGUUGGCGGGGUAAAGGCCCACCAAGGCGACGAUCCGUAGCUGGUCUGAGAGGAGGAUCAGCCACACUGGAACUGAGACACGGUCCAGACUCCUACGGGAGGCAGCAGUGGGGAAUAUUGGACAAAGGGCGCAAGCCUGAUCCAGCCAUACCGCGUGGGUGAAGAAGGCCUUCGGGUUGUAAAGCCCUUUUGUUGGGAAAGAAAAGCAGCAGGUUAAUACCCCGCUGUUCUGACGGUACCCAAAGAAUAAGCACCGGCUAACUUCGUG
rnacentral:rRNA from 1 species